CAGUCGUGCUGGCGCGAAAUCAACCCGCCCGCUGAGCGAUCACCUGUCGUGGCGAGCCUCAAAACCGCCACGGCUCGUGACCACUUGAUGGUCUGGUGCACUUUUGUGUCGGCUGGUUAACGUCAAUUUCUCACGUCAUAAAAUGAUUAGAGGAAUGUAGCUUUGAUCUCGUAUCGAAGUGUUAUAGUCUCUGGUAGAUGUGACGAUUGGGGAUUGGAGGAUUGCAACGGAUACCCCUCGGGGCCUACCCGAUCCUGAUCUCUGAAGGUUGCUCCGGUG
rnacentral:rRNA from 1 species